rnacentral:rRNA from 1 species
GUGCUUAACACAUGCAAGUCGAACGGAAAGGCCCUGCUUUUGUGGGGUGCUCGAGUGGCGAACGGGUGAGUAACACGUGAGUAACCUGCCCUUGACUUUGGGAUAACUUCAGGAAACUGGGGCUAAUACCGGAUAGGAGCUCCUGCUGCAUGGUGGGGGUUGGAAAGUUUCGGCGGUUGGGGAUGGACUCGCGGCUUAUCAGCUUGUUGGUGGGGUAGUGGCUUACCAAGGCUUUGACGGGUAGCCGGCCUGAGAGGGUGACCGGCCACAUUGGGACUGAGAUACGGCCCAGACUCCUACGGGAGGCAGCAGUGGGGAAUAUUGCACAAUGGGCGGAAGCCUGAUGCAGCAACGCCGCGUGCGGGAUGACGGCCUUCGGGUUGUAAACCGCUUUCGCCUGUGACGAAGCGUGAGUGACGGUAAUGGGUAAAGAAGCACCGGCUAACUACGUGCCAGCAGCCGCGGUGAUACGUAGGGUGCGAGCGUUGUCCGGAUUUAUUGGGCGUAAAGGGCUCGUAGGUGGUUGAUCGCGUCGGAAGUGUAAUCUUGGGGCUUAACCCUGAGCGUGCUUUCGAUACGGGUUGACUUGAGGAAGGUAGGGGAGAAUGGAAUUCCUGGUGGAGCGGUGGAAUGCGCAGAUAUCAGGAGGAACACCAGUGGCGAAGGCGGUUCUCUGGGCCUUUCCUGACGCUGAGGAGCGAAAGCGUGGGGAGCGAACAGGCUUAGAUACCCUGGUAGUCCACGCUGUAAACGGUGGGUACUAGGUGUGGGGUCCAUUCCACGGGUUCCGUGCCGUAGCUAACGCUUUAAGUACCCCGCCUGGGGAGUACGGCCGCAAGGCUAAAACUCAAAGGAAUUGACGGGGCCCCGCACAAGCGGCGGAGCAUGCGGAUCAAUUCGAUGCAACGCGUAGAACCUUACCUGGGUUUGACAUGGAUCGGGAGUGCUCAGAGAUGGGUGUGCCUCUUUUGGGGUCGGUUCACAGGUGGUGCAUGGCUGUCGUCAGCUCGUGUCGUGAGAUGUUGGGUUAAGUCCCGCAACGAGCGCAACCCUUGUUCACUGUUGCCAGCACGUUAUGGUGGGGACUCAGUGGAGACCGCCGGGGUCAACUCGGAGGAAGGUGGGGAUGACGUCAAGUCAUCAUGCCCCUUAUGUCCAGGGCUUCACGCAUGCUACAAUGGCUGGUACAGAGAGUGGCGAGCCUGUGAGGGUGAGCGAAUCUCGGAAAGCCGGUCUCAGUUCGGAUUGGGGUCUGCAACUCGACCUCAUGAAGUCGGAGUCGCUAGUAAUCGCAGAUCAGCAACGCUGCGGUGAAUACGUUCCCGGGGCUUGUACACACCGCCCGUCAAGUCAUGAAAGUUGGUAACACCCGAAGCCGGUGGCCUAACCGUUGUGGGGGAGCCGUCGAAGGUGGGACUGGUGAUUAGGACU